UGCGAAGUCUAUAAACAAAUUCUCUUUUCUUGAACAGUCUCAAUCUGCGAGGCUCCAACGUCAGAUAAUACAUACACAUAGCCUUAGUUGAAACCUAAAUUACAGGGACAUUCAGUACUAAUCAAAAGAUAUGGUUACUCUAUACAUAGGGGCAAAGAAUACGUGAAGGGUGCAUUGCUAUUGUGUAAUAAUGAGAGAAACCAAGAUAGGGAGUAGGCAAAAGACAUGCAUUUUUUAUUUCUUAGUGCAUGAUUGCUCGGCAGCCAUAAGGAUGAAUAGAGACACAAGGAAACUUGACCAUGGAAUGCAGGUAACAUACUCACAUGGAUCAAACCGUCUGAAGAAGUAUUAUCGAUGCAUGUAGAGUUUUAGAUCAGAUUCUUUAGGUUAUAAUUGAUCUCGAUCUUGUGAUUGACUUAGGUUUCUGUUUGAUCUCAGGGUAUGACGUAAAGCAACCAACAAAAUACGCAAGAGCUUUGUUCACCCGGUGUUCGCUGAUCUACUCACCGGGGAGGGAACGGCAUCCCUCAACUGCUUUACUAUUAGAGAAUCGAUACAGAUACAAGCUUGACAACAAUGGCGGAAUGAAACCGCAAAACAGAGCAAUACAAGAGAGAGUUUAGCGAGCUUAUCACUUCCUCUAUGAAGCCGGAAAGUCACCGCCGGAAUGAUCCUGACUCGAUCGUGUACCGCUUUCGUGACUCCGUCGCACUUCAAUCUCGUGAUCUCGAGCUAAGUCUUCUUCUCUCUCAGAUUCUCGAUCUGAUCUCUUUCUCUCUCACGGUGACGUUUAAUCACAGCUCACCAGUUUGUUAUAACAAACUCUUCACCCUGCAAUCACUAAAACGCACCCGUUU
rnacentral:lncRNA from 1 species